rnacentral:rRNA from 1 species
CCUACGGGAGGCAGCAGUGGGGAAUUUUGGACAAUGGGCGCAAGCCUGAUCCAGCAAUGCCGCGUGAGUGAAGAAGGCCUUCGGGUUGUAAAGCUCUUUUGUCAGGGAAGAAACGGUCUACUCUAAUACAGUGGGCUAAUGACGGUACCUGAAGAAUAAGCACCGGCUAACUACGUGCCAGCAGCCGCGGUAAUACGUAGGGUGCAAGCGUUAAUCGGAAUUACUGGGCGUAAAGCGUGCGCAGGCGGUUAUAUAAGUCAGAUGUGAAAUCCCCGGGCUCAACCUGGGAACUGCAUUUGAGACUGUAUGGCUAGAGUGUGUCAGAGGGGGGUAGAAUUCCACGUGUAGCAGUGAAAUGCGUAGAUAUGUGGAGGAAUACCGAUGGCGAAGGCAGCCCCCUGGGAUAACACUGACGCUCAUGCACGAAAGCGUGGGGAGCAAACAGGAUUAGAUACCCUGGUAGUCCACGCCCUAAACGAUGUCUACUAGUUGUCGGGACUUAAUUGUCUUGGUAACGCAGCUAACGCGUGAAGUAGACCGCCUGGGGAGUACGGUCGCAAGAUUAAAACUCAAAUGAAAUUGACGGNUGAGACGAGCGAGGACGACACGAGGGAGGAGG